GUGGGGAAUAUUGGACAAUGGGGGGAACCCUGAUCCAGCCAUGCCGCGUGUGUGAAGAAGGCCUUUUGGUUGUAAAGCACUUUAAGCGAGGAGGAGGCUACCGAGAUUAAUACUCUUGGAUAGUGGACGUUACUCGCAGAAUAAGCACCGGCUAACUCUGUGCCAGCAGCCGCGGUAAUACAGAGGAUGCAAGCGUUAAUCGGAUUUACUGGGCGUAAAGCGCGCGUAGGUGGCCAAUUAAGUCAAAUGUGAAAUCCCCGAGCUUAACUUGGGAAGUGCAUUCGAUACUGGUUGGCUAGAGUAUGGGAGAGGAUGGUAGAAUUCCAGGUGUAGCGGUGAAAUGCGUAGAGAUCUGGAGGAAUACCGAUGGCGAAGGCAGCCAUCUGGCCUAAUACUGACACUGAGGUGCGAAAGCAUGGGGAGCAAACAGGAUUAGAAACCCCAGUAGUCC
rnacentral:rRNA from 1 species